GACGAACGCUGGCGGCGUGCUUAACACAUGCAAGUCGAACGGUAAGGCCUUUCGGGGUACACGAGUGGCGAACGGGUGGGUAACACGUGGGUGAUCUGCCCUGCACUUCGGGAUAAGCCCGGGAAACUGGGUCUAAUACCGGAUAGGACUGCGCGGUGCAUGCCGUGUGGUGGAAAGAUUUAUCGGUGCAGGAUGGGCCCGCGGCCUAUCAGCUUGUUGGUGGAGUAAUGGCCUACCAAGGCGACGACGGGUAGCCGGCCUGAGAGGGCGACCGGCCACACUGGGACUGAGACACGGACCAGACGCCUACGGGAGGCAGCAGGGGGGAAUAUUGCGCAAUGGGCGCAAGCCUGAUGCAGCGACGCCGCGUGAGGGAUGACGGGCUUCGGGUUGUAAACCUAUGUCAGCGGGGACGAGGCGUGAGUGACGGUACCUGCAGAAGAAGCACCGGCCAACUACGUG
rnacentral:rRNA from 1 species